UGAAUAAUCCAAGCAUCCGGUGGAAGAAGAGGCUCUUUGGGGUUCACAAAAGAGAAAAUUUUAAAAUUGGGGAGCGUUCCUUUUUCCCUCAGACACCAUGUUUAUCCGAGACGACGAGGACGCCCCCUUCCGGAACUAUUCACGUUUUACAGACACCCAGCUUAGUGAGGAGGCAAUGAGGAUGGUGCGACAGGACGUAGGAGAAACUCCCGAAUCCAGGGCAAAAGGCUUGGCCAUACUAAAGAACAUGCUCUCAGAAACAAAAGAUCUCAAAGCUUGCUUGGAUGACGAGUUUUUGCUGCGAUUUUUAAGAGUUGCGAAAUUUGACUGCGCUCGUGCUUACGACAGAAUGCUGAAGUACUACAACCUGCG